GUGGCGGUAAUGCUCACCUAAACGUUUCUUGCCAACAGCCAAUAAAUUUCAAGAAGAAGAGGACACCGCUGGGAGUUUUGGAAGAAAACCGUUUUGGGCCAAAUUUUUUUUUUUUUUUUUUUUUUUUACCUUGAAGAAAACACACAUUUUAAAAACAAUGCUGAACUGAAAACCUGCCACUACUCUGGACUGAGCUGUUGGGGCUACCAGAUGAGAAGCUGCUUUCCAGAGGGAUAAGUAAAAUGUAGGUCCAGCGGGAAAUGAUCUACCAAAGACAGAAGUGGAGCUACAGCAUGACCAGAAAGGAGAAGAAUCGAGAUUUUUCAUUGACCCGAUCAAAGUCUAACUUUCAGCCUGGCUGGAAUACGAUACCGAGAUCUUCAGAGAGUUGUGCACCAAUAGACGUCUGCAAACCUCAAUCUGUUCAAGCAAGGUUGUGAGGAAGAGAGGGGCAGCAUCUCCCUGUGAUGAUCAGGACAGAGGGAGGGAUGGAGAAGCUCUUGGCUUAGUCGAUUUGAAGUCGUCUUCAUGUUGUUUGUCACAGCAUCCAUGACACAAAGCGAUGCAUAACAAGCUGAAAGAUGCCACGUGCGACGGUGUGUAGAAAGGGAGAAGGAGACCGCGCACUGAGAGAAACGCGUUAACUCAGAAGGAGACGUAGAGGACAUCUGCAGGAAUUAAAGGGGGAAGGAAAAAAAAAAAGACACUGGGAGUUUCCGUGCAAUUGUACUUUCCCUGAUAACAUCAGUUGAUUUUAUUACAAGACGUCUGCUAAUAUCUUUUCUGUCACCUUAAUUUUCAUUCCUCACCAUAUCGCCAACAUGGCAAGCAGAGCUAAUGAAUUCGACUGUGAAUGAAGGAGCGAGAGGUGGCAGGGAACGAGGGAGAGCUAGAGCAAGUCAUCCUGCGAGAAGAGAGCAUAUUGCAUACUGAAACAACUCCUCCAGCCACUGACUUGGAAAUGAGUCACAGUGCUCCGCUCGACUAAUAAAAUCUACAGCAUGUGUUAGACUGUUUCUCCUUGUUUAACACCAAGCCAGAAUGUGUUGGGUCAUAACAAUGAGGUGGUAAAAAUGUUCUAAAUGUACUUCCCUUGUGGAGCUCGGAGAGAGUUUUGAAUUUUGUCUUCGCCAGCAGAGGGGGGUAAUGGUACACUGAAGAGUUGGACUUGCUUUAUGGAUAUCUCACUCUUGGAAGAUCACUUAGGAAUGCCUAAUUUGGAUUUAAGUAGAAAACAAAUGCGCCCUUCGUGGUUUUUAUUUUCUUAUUUUUUCAAACCUCUGUUCUUGAGUCAUGUGAGGUUGAAACUGGUGGUGCUUUUCAGGCUUGUUUGUUUUGUUUGUGGUUGCGUUUGCUGCAUCUUUGAUUUUUCAACAUCAAGAGAGCUUAAUGGUCAUUAAUCCAGCAAGGUGGGAAGACGCAAAGCAUUUUCUGAAUUUACAUACCUCACUCAUAUUACACAGAGCCCUCAUGCUGACUUUUCUCAUAUUGGGUUUUACUUGAAGCAUUUUUUAAAAUUUUUUUAUGAAAACCAUGCAGCGAGAGGGUUUUUGGUGUUUGCUUAUUGAUCGCGCAAGUAUAACACCAUCAAAAUAUGAGACAACUUCAAGCUCAGCAGUGCUGACAAGCAGGAUUAUGUGCUAGUUAAAAUCAUUCUCGUUCUGUAAACAAACCAGUGCUGGAGGGGAACUCCAUAGCUGCAACAUCUGCCCACACUACAUAAAAUGGACAAUCUCCUUCCAGAUGCUGCCUCUGAUCUGCUCAGAAUCCUGAAUUCUUCAUCGCUGAUUUGUUUGGAGAUCAAUGCAAAAGGCAGUGCAUGAUUGUGAAGUGUAAGGAAAAUCAUGCAUAUAGCUGUUAAAAUCUUUAACGAAUAAAAAUGUCUGAAGCGUGA